rnacentral:rRNA from 1 species
ACGGAGGGGACUAGCGUUGUUCGGAAUUACUGGGCGUAAAGCGCACGUAGGCGGAUUUGUAAGUCAGGGGUGAAAUCCCGAGGCUCAACCUCGGAACUGCCUUUGAUACUGCAAAUCUCGAGUCCGGAAGAGGUGAGUGGAAUUCCUAGUGUAGAGGUGAAAUUCGUAGAUAUUAGGAAGAACACCAGUGGCGAAGGCGGCUCACUGGUCCGGUACUGACGCUGAGGUGCGAAAGCGUGGGGAGCAAACAGGA